rnacentral:rRNA from 1 species
GACGAACGCUGGCGGCGUGCCUAACACAUGCAAGUCGAGCGAACGGACGAGAAGUUUGCUUUUCUGAUGUUAGCGGCGGACGGGUGAGUAACAUGUGGAUAACCUACCUAUAAGACUGGGAUAAUAUCGGGAAACCGGAGCUAAUACCGGAUAAUAUUUUGAACCGUAUGGUUCAAAAGUGAAAUACGGUCUUGCUGUCAGUUAUAGCUGGAUACGCGCUGCAUUAGUUAGUUGGUAAGGUAACGGCUUACCAAGGCAACGAUGCAUAGCCGACCUGAGAGGGUGGUCGGCCACACGGGAACUGAGACAGGGACCAGACUCCUGCGGUAGGCAGCAGACGGGAAUCUUCCGCAAUGGAGGAGAGCCUGACAGAGCAACGCCGCGUAAGUGAUGAAGGUCUUCUGAUCGGAAAGCUCUGUUGUUAGGGAGGAACAUAUGUGUAAGUAACUGUGCAGAUAUUGACGGUACCUAGUCAAAAAGCCACGGCUAACUACGUG